rnacentral:rRNA from 1 species
UACGUAGGGGGCAAGCGUUGUCCGGAAUCAUUGGGCGUAAAGAGCGUGUAGGCGGUCCGGUAAGUCGGCUAUGAAAGUCCAGGGCUCAACCCUGGGAUGCCGGUCGAUACUGCCGGACUAGAGUUCGGAAGAGGCGAGUGGAAUUCCCGGUGUAGCGGUGAAAUGCGCAGAUAUCGGGAGGAACACCUAUGGCGAAGGCAGCUCGCUGGGACGUUACUGACGCUGAGACGCGAAAGCGUGGGGGGAGCAAACAGG